ensembl:lncRNA
AACUACUGCUGGGUAAACCACAUCUAACUCAUUAUAGCCACAUUGAAAGAAAACUGUGUGCUUUUCUUUAAUUUGUUAUCAUCUACACACUUCAGUCCGUUUGUGAACUGUCACUUUUUUAUCAUCCAGGAUAUGGAAAUCUAGGAGGUGGCGGCCUGGGGCCUGGAGGCUAUGGAGGAGGUGGCUAUGGGGGCUACUAUCCGGGAGCUGGAUCAAAGGCUGCUAAAAGCGGGGUUGGAGGAGGAGGAGGUCCUGGAGUCACUGGAACUGGACCUGGACUGCCUGGUGGAGGCAAGGCACACACCUAAUAUCAUUUUCCACCUUUUCUAAUUUUUUUUCAUUUUAUUUUAGCUCUGAUUUCUC